rnacentral:rRNA from 1 species
GUGAGGAAUAUUGGUCAAUGGGCGGAAGCCUGAACCAGCCAUCCCGCGUGAAGGAAGGCGGCCCUAUGGGUUGUAAACUUCUUUAGUACAUGAAGAACAGGAUCUACGCGUAGGUUUAUGACGGUAAUGUACAAAAAAGCAUCGGCUAACUCCGUGCCAGCAGCCGCGGUAAUACGGAGGAUGCGAGCGUUAUCCGGAUUCAUUGGGUUUAAAGGGUACGUAGGUGGCCCUGUAAGUCAGUGGUGAAAAUCUGCCGCUUAACGGUAGGGGUGCCAAUGAUACUGCGGGGCUUGAGUACAGUUGAGGUAGGUGGAAUGUGUAGUGUAGCGGUGAAAUGCAUAGAUAUUACACAGAACUCCGAUUGCGAAGGCAUCUUACUAAGCUGAAACUGACACUGAUGUACGAAAGCGUGGGGAUCGAACAGGAUUAGAAACCCGGGUAGUCC